AAUUCAGUGAGUCAUCGAAUCUUUGAACGCAUAUUGCGCCCUUUGGUAUUCCGAAGGGCAUGCCUGUUCGAGCGUCAUU
rnacentral:rRNA from 1 species